UGGAACAAGAAAUAAUUCUACUUACAUGUGUUUCUGGCAGGAUAAACCUGUCUUUUUUUUUUUCUUUUCAACCUUAAAAAAAAGAAUAGCUCACCAAGAGCAACUCAUUUGAUUUUACUGGGGAAAGGUCUCCCUCCUGUGUCACUCUCUACAUCCGAUGUCUGUCAAUGUGAUGACAGUUGUGAAGCCCCACCUCUAAAGACAAUAUGUGAAGAGCUGAAAAUCAAAACUACCACCCUGUAUUUUAUCUGGGUACCAUUUAAGAACCCAGGAUCAAAGGAAUGAUAGCUUCAUUCUGGCAAGUAAGAAAAUGAAGGAAGUCAUGUCUCUUUGCUACCUACCAGGAGAAAGAUGGUGCUCUGUGGAUUAUUGCUGAGGCACACUUGCUGGGCAGCCUGGGGAAGGCUGCAUUGAUCUGUCCAUGGCCGUAUCUGUUUUGGUGGAUAAAGUCUCCAAGGCUAUAAAUACAGCAUUUUCCACCAUCAUGAAAUUCACUCCGAAAUAUUAAAAAAAGAAAAAAUAUCCAUAUGUAACUGAAACUGCUGUGUGACCUCCAUUUUGCCCAGUCCUCCAUACCAUUUGUCCUCCCUUCCUUUUCUUCCUUUUGGAUUUAGAUAUUUGGUGUUCUACACUGAGAAACAAAGAGCUGAUGCAGUAG